AUGGAGCCGACCUUGAAAUACCACCCUUUAAUGUUUGAUGUUCUAACGUUGACCCGUAAUCCGGGUUGCGGACAGUGUCUGGUGGGUAGUUUGACUGGGGCGGUCUCCUCCUAAAGAGUAACGGAGGAGCACGAAGGUUGGCUAAUCCUGGUCGGACAUCAGGAGGUUAGUGCAAUGGCAUAAGCCAGCUUGACUGCGAGCGUGACGGCGCGAGCAGGUGCGAAAGCAGGUCAUAGUGAUCCGGUGGUUCUGAAUGGAAGGGCCAUCGCUCAACGGAUAAAAGGUACUCCGGGGAUAACAGGCUGAUACCGCCCAAGAGUUCAUAUCGACGGCGGUGUUUGGCACCUCGAUGUCGGCUCAUCACAUCCUGGGGCUGAAGUAGGUCCCAAGGGUAUGGCUGUUCGCCAUUUAAAGUGGUACGCGAGCUGGGUUUAGAACGUCGUGAGACAGUUCGGUCCCUAUCUGCCGUGGGCGCUGGAGAACUGAGGGGGGCUGCUCCUAGUACGAGAGGACCGGAGUGGACGCAUCACUGGUGUUCGGGUUGUCAUGCCAAUGGCACUGCCCGGUAGCUAAAUGCGGAAGAGAUAAGUGC
rnacentral:rRNA from 1 species